CCUUGUUUCAGGAUAUCUUUCAGCACUUGGACAAAGCAGUUGAACAGAAACAAAGAUGAAAAACCUGAGAAAUGUGGUCUUCGCCUUUGCGUUGGAAAAGAAUUGAUGCCUUAUUUAAGAAACAAUCAGCUAGGUGUGGUGGUUCACACCUAUGAUCCCAGCACUUUGGGAGGCCGAGGUCUCAGCCAAUUUCUUCUCCAGUCAUCCUCCAGUUUGGUCAUGCAGAGACUCUUCUUCCACUGCUUUCUCUCAUGGGCUACUUCAAAGACAAGGAACCCCUAACAGCGUACAAUUACAAAAAACAAAUGCAUCGGAAGUUCCGAAGUGGUCUCAUUGUACCUUAUGCCUCGAACCUGAUAUUUGUGCUUUACCACUGUGAAAAUGCUAAGACUCCUAAAGAACAAUUCCGAGUGCAGAUGUUAUUAAAUGAAAAGGUGUUACCUUUGGCUUACUCACAAGAAACUGUUUCAUUUUAUGAAGAUCUGAAGAACCACUACAAGGACAUCCUUCAGAGUUGUCAAACCAGUGAAGAAUGUGAAUUAGCAAGGGCUAACAGUACAUCUGAUGAACUAUGAGUAACUGAAGAACAUUUUUAAUUCUUUAGGAAUCUGCAAUGAGUGAUUACAUGCUUGUAAUAGGUAGGCAAUUCCUUGAUUACAGGAAGCUUUUAUAUUACUUGAGUAUUUCUGUCUUUUCACAGAAAAACAUUGGGUUUCUCUCUGGGUUUGGACAUG
rnacentral:lncRNA from 10 species